rnacentral:rRNA from 1 species
CCCUUAGAUGUUCUGGGCUGCACGCGCGCUACACUGAUGCGCUCAACGAGUUUUAACCUUGCCUGGAAAGGUUGGGUAAUCUUUUUAAAACGCAUCGUGAUGGGGAUAGAUUAUUGAAAUUAUUAAUCUUGAACGAGGAAUUCCUAGUAAACGCAGAUCAUCAAUCUGCAUUGAUUACGUCCCUGCCCUUUGUACACACCGCCCGUCGCACCUACCGAUUGGAUGGUCCGGUGAAGCCUCGGGAUUGUGGUUCUUGCCGCUUUAUUGUGGCGUGACCGCGAGAACUUGUCUAAACCUUAUCAUCUAGAGGAAGGUGAAGUCGUAACA